rnacentral:lncRNA from 1 species
UUCAAACAAACAAUCAACUACAGCCACUUGUCCAUAUCUUCUCGAUUGCUUGUCGAUAUCGUGUCUAUAGUUGUCAAUCAUGAAGGGAGUUGCUGUCAUUUUCGCUGUCGUCGCCGUUCUUGUGUGUGGUCACGUGGCCGAGGCCCAGGAAACCACGUGUCCACCACUCCGCUGUCUGGUGCCCUGUCCGCGGGGCUACAAGCGUGAUGCCAACAACUGUUUAACGUGUGAAUGUCUGACAGAGCAGGAGAUCAAAGCUAACCUUAUUCCCCUACUUGCUGGGAAAAUUUGAUACUAAACCUGUGAAGGCAACGGUUCAAGCCCAAAUACAAGGAAAAACAAGAGUUAGUUCCCUUUAGUUGAACACAUUGUCUGUUUGACAACGGAAUAAACACGAUUUAAAAACUUA